rnacentral:rRNA from 1 species
UACAGAGGGUGCGAGCGUUGUUCGGAAUUAUUGGGCGUAAAGCGCACGUAGGCGGCUCGUUAAGUCUGACUGUGAAAGACCGGGGCUCAACCCCGGGGCUGCAGCGGAUACUGGCGAGCUUGAGACACGUAGAGGCUGGCGGAAUUCCGGGUGUAGCGGUGGAAUGCGUAGAGAUCCGGAAGAACACCGGUGGCGAAGGCGGCCAGCUGGGCGUGGUCUGACGCUGAGGUGCGAAGGCGUGGGGAGCGAACAGGAUUAGAAACCCCUGUAGUCC